CAGGACCACACCCCGAGCCGAAGGCAGACGCUCAACCGCUGAGCCACCUAGGAAUCCCUAACAGCAGGGAGCUGAUGCGGUAAAUCUACAGGCAAGACCACAAACCACACACUGCAGAAGAGCAGCAGAGCAUCGCUCCCAGGUCUGUGACCCAGACACUGCAGGACCCGAAGGGCACCUGGAGAUACCAGUGUUGCACAGCACUUAGGAGCUAGGGCUCCAGAUUCUUCUGCCUGAGGGAGGGCUCAGUCCUGGCUCCCUGGCCUUGAGAAAUUCGUGGAAUGUCUCGGACCCUCAGGUUCCUCCUCUCUGACAUGGGGAUGAAAAUAAUUCUACCUACCUCGUAAGGAAUCUUGGAAGACCUAAAUAAGAAAUGCUCAGCCCAGUGCCUGGUGGAAAAUAGACACUCAGUAAUCAUCACUGUGGUUGCUUUUAUUAUUAUCUAACCCAUAAAUUACAAGCCACUCAAGGAAAACCACUCAAGGAGGUGAUUUUGACCUUGUAAGUAUGAGAGAUACUUGGUACCAAUCAGGUUUUCAAAGCUCUCAAUGAAGAAAACCCAAACACCGCAUUAGAGCACACACAUCCCCAAACAAACUUCUGAGCAGGAAAAUGAAGUCAACCCCCCCUCGUGUGAGCUGCCUCAAUAAAGUGCUUAUUUGUAUAAAUGUUCACACAGUUAGGCUAACAGACGUGAAGGAAAAACAUCCACUAAAAUGUUAAGACAAAACACAAGAUCUCAGGUGGUCCUCGACCUUCUUCCUUUGUCUUCUUCACUCAGCAGCAGUAGCUGGAGCCAUAAGGCAUUUUCACAUGGAACUUAGAGCCACCAUUGGCAUUUCUCAGCUGAGAAAAGUUAUUUGAGCAGCUAAUUUGCAUACAAGAUCUUGCCCCAAAAGAGGAAUUGGAUAGUCAGGUGUCAGAAGCAAAACCUGAAUCAGCUUCGCCUGUUGUUCUUCCUCAGCAUUCUAAGUCUUGUAAGCAAUCUGCACCAAAUGGGCCAAACUCAGAGUCACGGCACCCUCCACUUUAAUAGCUUUUGCCUGGUGUCAGGAGCACUCUGCCUAAUGAAGGACAUAUUGAUCAGCUAUGUAUUCUCAAGGGCCUUGGUGUCUAAAUUGGUGUGUUCAGCUAUUUUUUUUUCCCUAGGGUCAUCUUAACAUGAAGGGUUUUGAGAUUUCCAAUUUAAUGAAUCCAAGGUAGAAAAUGGACUAUAGGUCCAAUAAUAAGCAGCCAGCUGGACUUGUCCAUUCACUCCAACAGGCAGUUGGCACACCAAAAAUUGCCUUACCCCUACAUCAGGUGGGCCCCAUCUGAAUUGGGUGCCCUGUUGGGUCUUUAAUGGGGAGACCCAUUCCCAUUUGUAGAGUCAUAACUUGGGGGUCUCUCUUAUUGAUUGCACCCUCCCUUCCACUCCUCGACCUUGCAACAAAGGACAGAGAUGUUCCAGAGAAACAGUAUUUUUUUUUUAUGAUUUUAUUUAUUUGAGAAAGCACAAGAGAGUGAAAUAGCAGAAGGAGGGCAGAGGGAGAAACAGACUCCCAGCUGAGCAGGGAGCCCUAAGACCCUGAGGUCAUGACCUAAGCCAAAGGCAGAUGCUUAACUGACCAAGCCACCCAGGAGUCCCCAGAGAAACAGUCUCAAACCUAGUAUUUUUUCUCCCUGUGGCAGAGGAAGGGCUGCUCGGGGUGAUGGUACAGAGGCCUGACCACAAUUUGGAUUAAAAGGGUUCAUUACACUCAAAGUCAACAUGUCUUCAUUUGCUUUGUCUUCCAGGGUUCAAGAAUCAUCAAACAGUGGAGAUUGCUUCUCCCAAACUAUAAGCAAGAUUCAGUACACGCACCGGGGGACUUUCCCAAUUAUGGCAGAGGAAUCUCAAUGCUCUCCUUUCACUAUGUUCCUUCUUUCUUGAAAGACAUUCCCUGUGACUCAGCAUCUGGGCAGCCACAAGGCCUAGAACAGGGAGGUCCUCGAGGUCAAACAGACGUCAGCAGGUGCCUCCCAGGGGCUCCUCCAAGUCCUGUGUUUUCAAAACCAGAUACACUGAGAAGCUGCUCCCAACAUGGGCAUCCUGAGGACGGCCUCAUCCCUCCACACUCCCUACUAGGAGAUACCAGAGCAGAAGGAGGCUUUACGAAUCCCUUUGGCCAAAGAGAAGUGGGAGUGCAGACAGAGGAAGUGAUGGCCCAAAGGCACACAACCUCUGCGGAGGCCCGGAUGACUCCCCGCCACCCACCCUCUCUAUGCUGCAACUCUAUCACCAGCACCUUUUCCCCAGCAAUAAAGCAAAAAUGCCUCUUUAUA